GAGGGUAUAGCUCAGUGGUAGAGUGCAUGCAUAGCAUGCAUGAGGUCCUGAGUUCAAUCUCCAGUACCACCA
rfam:Camelus ferus unplaced genomic scaffold scaffold993, whole genome shotgun sequence.